AACCGCAGUCUGUUUGUUCAGACGCAUAGUCUCAAGUUUGCAGCAGUUUCCAGUUCUUUAACCGACUAACUAUCAACCAAAAUGCCUGCCCCUUCAGAACAGUGCAAAGAUUCCUGCAAGGAUGCUGACUGCUGCAAAGACAAUAACUGCGAGACCUCUUGCAAGGAUUGCUCUUCUGAAGGUGGCUGCUGCUAAUUCGUACAAUGGUCGCGUACCUGCGCACACUAUCUUAACUACUAUGAUGUGAUAUUAUUGUACUUUAUUUUUCGAUCACAUACAAUAAAA